AACGAACGCUGGCGGCAGGCUUAACACAUGCAAGUCGAACGAGCUGGGGGCUUCGUUCUCCGAUGCUAGUGGCGCACGGGUGAGUAACACGUGGGAAUAUGCUCCCUAGUACGGUAUGAUCAAGUCAAACUUUUGCUACUACUGCAUACGCCCUUCGCCGGCAGGAUUUAUCGCUAAAGGAUUAGCCCGCGUCUGAUUAUGUAGUUGGUGAGGUAAUGGCUAAUCAAGCAGACGUUCAGUAGCUGGUCUGGGAGGAGGAUCAGCCACACUGGGACUGAGACACGGACUAGACUCCUACGCAGGGGAGGAGUAGGGAAUAUUGGACGAUGGAGGCAACCCUGAUCCAGCCGUGCCGGGUGAGUGAAGAAGGGCUUCGGGUUGUAAAGCUGUUUCGGCGGAGACGAGGAUGACGGUAACCGUAUAAGAAGCCCCGGCAAACUACGUG
rnacentral:rRNA from 1 species